GGGAGGAGGAGGCAGAUAGGACGAUAGCGGCGUUGCAUCGACGAGUACAGGUGCUACAGGCCAUAGUCAGGCGCCUACGCUCCGGACAGCUACCCAGGGACAGCUGAAGAAGACGCACACAGUAGGAGUGGAGGCAGCAGCAAUUACUGCAAUCAAUGACAGAUCUAUUCAGAUCACGGCUAGAUGAUCCCAAGGACAAACUUCUCACAAGGAUUGCAUAUAUAUCUAUCUAUCUAUCUAUCUAUCUAUCUAUAUCUAUCCAGCUAUCUAUAUAUCUCUAUAUAUAUAUAUAUGUAUAUAUACCACUACUUCCUAAUAACUUCAUAUUUUGUUUCUCAGUUACGACUCCAUUCUUACAAUCAAGUAAAUAUAUAUGGCGCCCCAGAAGUUGCUUUAAAAGUUGUUCCUACGCGUUUUUCCAGGAGCAACGCCGGUUACCCGGCUAGUUACUUCCUAAUAAUUCGUCCAUUGUCGUGCAAGCGUUUCAUGACAUUUAGAGCAUGACGCCAUGUAGGUUUAUAUAUAGGUUAAUACACGUGACAUGUUACGAGUUGUAUGUUAUCUAGAUAUGCAUAUCUGCAGGAGAGAAUAAUGUUCUGUAAUGUUUUAUAUUCACUAGCUCCUGAUAUUUUAUUUGUAGAUGUUAUUUUGUUACGUGUAUGUGAGUGUUUACAGGCUAGGGAGUGUAUGCAUAACUGAUGAAUGCAAUCACUAUAGAGCUUAAUUAAUAACUUAUAUAAUCGCCAGGUUCUAUACACAGUGGCUGAUCCAUUUAAUACUAGUCACUAUUAUGCACACAGCACACUAGUCGAACUCUCCCGGUUUCGAGAUUUUAAUCUUGCUUAUUAAAACCUAUACGUCUAUAUAAAUGUCUGAAUGUAUUGUAUAAAUGCCUUGGUAGUGAAUCGUGAUAUAAAAAAGACUUGCUACCAAUAAA